rnacentral:tRNA from 1 species
GUCAAUGUAGCUUACAUAAAGCAUAUCGAUGAAAACGAUAAGACAAAUGCCUAAUUUCAUUGACA